rnacentral:rRNA from 1 species
UACGGAGGGUGCAAGCGUUAUCCGGAAUCACUGGGUUUAAAGGGUGCGUAGGUGGUUUAGUAAGUCAGAUGUGAAAGCCCGGCGCUUAACGUCGGAAUUGCAUUUGAUACUGUCAGAACUUGAAUAGGUUGAGGUGGGCGGAAUGUGGCAUGUAGCGGUGAAAUGCAUAGAUAUGCCAUAGAACACCAAUUGCGAAGGCAGCUCACUGGCCCUGUAUUGACACUGAGGCACGAAAGCGUGGGGAGCGAAC